GCAGCGGAGGAAGCGUUCAUCCCUUUCCUCUGCAGGGCCGCAGAGGCCUAAGGCUACAUCUAGGGCUGGCAGGCCGCUGCCAGACGGCAGAGCACAGGUCCCCGAAGACGAAUCCAAACUUGAAUUCUGUGCAACUGAUUGCAGAGCUGGCGCAAUCUGACGCCCUGUGGUCGGGGAUCUGCGACCUCCACUGAACUGAGAUCCACUGUACCCUGGAGACAAGCUUUCUCAUGGAGGCCACCAGUUGCAGAGGCUGAUAGUGAAAUAAAAGGGCGCGCUUGUUCCUGA